rnacentral:rRNA from 1 species
AGCGAACGUGAGCGGCAGGCCUAACACAUGCAAGUCGCGCGAGAAUGGGGCUUCGGCUCCUAGUAAAGCGGCGGACGGGUGAGUAACACGUGGAUAAUCUGCCCUUCGGCGGGGGACAACAGUCCGAAAGGAUUGCUAAUACCGCGUAAGUCGGCGAGGUCGUUCGGAUCUUGUCGGGAAAGAUGGCCUCUUCAUGAAAGCUAUCACCGAAGGAUGAGUCCGCGUCCCAUCAGCUAGUUGGCGGUGUAAGAGACCACCAAGGCUAAGACGGGUAGCUGGUCUGAGAGGAUGAUCAGCCACAC